rnacentral:misc_RNA from 1 species
UCUCCGUUGGUGGACCAGCGGAGGGAUCAUUACUGAGUUACCGCUCUACAACCCUUUGUGAACAUACCUAACUGUUGCUUCGGCGGGCAGAGGUCCCUCGCGGAUCUCUCCCGGCAACGCCCUCACGGGCGGAGCGCCCGCCGGAGGAUACCAAACUCUAUUUUAACGACGUUUCUUCUGAGUGGCACAAGCAAAUAAUUAAAACUUUUAACAACGGAUCUCUUGGUUCUG